ensembl:lncRNA
AUGCCCAUUCAGCCCACUAUAAAAUUCAGCCCCCGUGUUUUCAAAGGGCCCCCUUCUGCCUCAGCCUCACCUGUAAUGAUGGGAGGGGAGCGUGCAAGGCGCUCGUCCUGCAAAGCCGCGCCGAGGGCCCGGCCGGCCGCGCUCCGCAGGCUUCGCCGCAUGUGCACGGAGCCGUGGCCUACAGCCGGCCAAAUGCAGGGGCCUUGGAGAGGAAAAUGCCUCUCUGCUUGCCUUCCCCAACCGAGGAAAGUCAGCUCUGCUGUCAGGCGCCCUGUUUAUGCACACUUUUGGGACAGCCGAGAUGGGCCGAGAUGCUUCUCGGCCUUCCACAAAUCUCCCAGUUCCCGCACGGACACUGCCGAGACCGCAGCCCCAAGCCCCGGGGCCGGCGGUGGGUGUGCACGGCCCCUCUCUCUCACGCCCUCACCUGCCGCCAUCCCAGCCCGGCGGCCACCAGCCCCGCUCCCACACGCUCCAGACGGGCCGGUGGCCGAGGGUGAACCCGGAGAGGCCCCAAGUUGUGCACCAUGUCGGGCAGGGUGGCUACGGGGCAAAGUGCCCCGUGAACUGACCCGGCCGACAACUACUUGAUCAAACCCCAGCAAAGGUGAAAGAUAUUGUUCUUCACUGAGAGGAUGAGAAGAUUUAGAUGGACUCCUAACAUGUGGUAAGAGGUUCAAAGCUUGAUUCAUGGUUACUCAGACCCAUCUGAAGUGAUACAUACCCCACAAAGGGAUUUUAAAAUGCUGCUUUUCUACUGAUAGCAAUUUAGACGUGCCUUGUCCUGAUGUAAUUGGUUACAGGGGUUCAAAAAAGCAGUAAACCUUGGGAGUUGUCAUAUCUCUAUGGACGAGUGGCAUCAGUGGUGUCACAAUAAUGUAAAUCCAGCAUUAAGAACAUAACCAAAUUAGCUACCUUUCUUGGUUUUAUGUUAAAUCUCGUUUCUUAAUGAAGCAAUGCAAUGUGCUGCAUGCAGGGCAGUGAGUGUACAUCUUUAUCUCCCUCCUAGUAAAGUUGAAACCAUCAGACAAUUUCAAAAAAGCAGAUGGGCAGCAGUCACAAAGCUCCAAACAGUUUCAUGAAAGGAAUGGGCUGGAUAAAGAAGAGAGAGAGAAUGCUUGUCCUAUCAUUGAGGGAGAAGUGAGCAGAGACCUCCUUGUCCACAUGUGAGGCACAAAGCCUCACACAGUUCCACUGAUGGACUGGGGGUUUGGAGACACCCAUUUCACUUCACCACACAGCAGCCAUUUCAGAGGAGCACACAGGGGGUUUAUUUGCCCCCAGGACUUUGAAGGGACAUGUGCAAUUAGGGUUUUUUAGGAGCGGAGUUAACUUUUACAUCAGAGAGAGAGGGAGUGCCUCUUUAUAGGAAGCUGCCUGCCAAGACAGCAGCAGGCACGGCACAGCCUCCUGAAUCUCUGAUGGGGAUAAGCAGCAACUCUCUCAGCAUUUUUAGCAGUACCCUACAGCUGCCAGUUGCAGAUACAAGGUAGAAGGAUGACAAUGGAGCUGGCUGCUGCUUCCUACUUCUAAUUUGAUCUAAGUAAUGAGCAGUUAAAAAAAGGCUUGGUGUUGCUUUAAGCUAAACCAGCUGUUUGUCUAUAGCCUGCAAGGACAGAGAACAGCAAUACUAGUCCUGUCAUCUCCUGUCUUCAGUGUUCUGCCUGCCACCAGCUGCAGGAGCCACUGGGGCUACAGAUUUCCCAACAAUGGAAUAAACUGCUCUGUGGGAAGAUCCA